rnacentral:rRNA from 1 species
UACGUAGGGUCCGAGCGUUGUCCGGAAUUACUGGGCGUAAAGAGCUCGUAGGCGGUUUGUCGCGUCUGCCGUGAAAGUCCGGGGCUCAACUCCGGAUCUGCGGUGGGUACGGGCAGACUAGAGUGAUGUAGGGGAGACUGGAAUUCCUGGUGUAGCGGUGGAAUGCGUAGAGAUCCGGAAGAACACCGGUGGCGAAGGCGGCCUGCUGGGCUAUGGCUGACACUGAGGCGCGACAGCGUGGGAGCAAACAGG